AGAAAGGAUGUUUUCACAUCCAUCUAAUACACUUUAAUAUUCUUG
rfam:Picea glauca, whole genome shotgun sequence.